CCCACCAUGACUUUCCACAUAGCAAACUUAUUACCUCUCUCUGUGAGGAACGGAGAAUGUCAUGAAUGUCAUGACAGCGAGGGUGAUCUCUGAAACUCAUUGUGAGCGUGGAGCUCAAUGGCUGUUAUCAGAGAUAACAAUAGCUGGCAUUAUUCAUAUGGGCUUUACAGGCUGAAAAACAUACUCAGCAACACAUCUCAUUGGAUUCUCACUCUUGAUGAGAGGCAGAGGUUGAGCCAGCAUCAGGAUGUGGACCAGCUGCUCCCCGUAAGAACAGGCUGACUUCAGGAAAAGACAUUCCUUGAUCAGCUAUCUGAUCAAGCCACCCAGUCAUCUCACUUUCUGGACCUACAUGAUGUCUGUAAUAUGAAAUGCAGAUUCUGAAAGAGAAGACAGUGCCUGGAGUCUGGUCUAUCCUAAGACAACUGUCCUGAAUACUCCUGGGGCCAAUUAAGACAGAGGAGGUCAAGGCUGUAUCUGUGGGAAGUGACGUCUCUCUCAAGUCCAUUGACGCAGUUUUAUGAAUUAGAGUUAGCACCCUGAC